UACAGGGGGUGCAAACGUUGCUCGGAAUCAUUGGGCGUAAAGCGCACGUAGGCGGUUCGUUAUGUCGGAUGUGAAAGCCCUUGGCUUAACCGAGGAAGUGCAUCCGAAACUGGCGAGCUAGAGUACUAAAGAGGAUCGCGGAAUUCCCGGUGUAGAGGUGAAAUUCGUAGAUAUCGGGAGGAACACCAAUGGCGAAGGCAGCUCGCUGGGACGGUACUGACGCUGAGGCGCGAAAGCGUGGGGAGCAAACAGG
rnacentral:rRNA from 1 species